rnacentral:lncRNA from 1 species
UGGUGCUGCAGAAGGGGCAGACCGGGACAGGACUGGCUCAUCGCGUCCACAGUCCUACAACGGGACCUAGUGUGGCCCAGGCAGAGAAAAGGAAGGGUGCCGCUUCCACCCAGAGCCACCUGCAAGGCCUGCCAGGCAGGGCCUUUCUAACAUGGAGAGCGUGAAGAAGAGCCGGGACAGUGAGCCUGGCACGUCUGGUCAGACAGGAAGAUGACUGUGAGGAAAACUGGUGGAGUGCUAAGUUGGGAAUGUCAUUUCUCCAGCAGGCUCACUUCUCUCAAGGUUGAGAGACAGAGAUGUUUGUAGAGUAGUGUAGGAAACUAUCUGUCCCCCACCCUAGCCCCCGUCCCUGCCUGGAAACCAUGACUCUAAAAGAAUAUGCGAGACAUUUCACCCCCUAUCCAACCAAAGGUCGGCUGUACAACCUUUCCAAAUGUCACUCCAACCACUGCUGGCAGAACCCCGGAGAUGCCAAGCACCUCGGUUCUGCUGUCGACUCUCACCCCAAGCUGCAGGGGGGUUUUGUUUGUUUUGUUUUUUGUCUUUUUUGUUUUUCUGCAGGAGCUAACGAAAUUCUUUGUGCACAGCCUGAGGAGUUGGCUUUCUGAGCCUUGGAGCUGCUGGUGUGGGACUCUGGUGUUUUUCCUGCCUUCCUGGGCUCCAAGACAUCCUAAGGAGAAAACCCCAUGCUCAGACACUUAGGCAGGACAGUUCCAGGACACUGGGAUUAAGCGGUGGUACCCGGCAGUUUCCUCAGACAGGUCGGGGCACUGCAUCCACUGCUGCUGUUAACCCGG